AGGAGAAUCUAAAUGAAAAAGGAGAUCGCGACAUCCAAAUAAGGAAGGAGAUUGCAAGAAUCCCUCGAUUCUCGAAUUAUUCUUACUUCCAUGUCUAUUUUUAAAAUUUAAUUUAAAUUUUUGAUAGGAUCCAAAUAAGAAAGAAGAUCGCAACAUCCAGAUAACAAAGGAGGAUCUGUAUGAGAAAAGAGAUCGCAAUGUCUAAAUAAGGAUCCAAAUGAGGAAG
rnacentral:lncRNA from 1 species